GAUGAACGCUGGCGGCGUGCCUAAUACCUGCAAGUCGAGCGAACAGACGAGGAGCUUGCUCCUAUGACGUUAGCGGCGGACGGGUGAGUAAAACGUGGAUAACCUACCUAUAAGCCUGGAAUAACUUCGGGAAACCGGAGCUAAUACCGGCUACUAUAUUGAACCGCAUGGUUCAAUAGUGCAAGACGAUUUUGCUGUCAUUUAUCGGUGGAUCCGCGCCGCAUUAGCUCGUUGGUAAGGUAACGGCUUACCAAGGCAACGAUCCGUAGCCGACCUGUGAGGGUGAUAGGCCACAUUGGAACUGAGACACGUCACAAACUCCUACGGGAGGCAGCAUUAGGGAAUCGUCCGCAAUGGGCGAAAGCCUGACGGUGCAACGCUGCGUGAGUGAGGAAGGUCUUCGGAUCGUAAAACUCUGGUAGGAGGGAAGAACAAAUGUGUAAGUAACUAUGCACGGCUUGACGUGACUUAAGCAGAAAGCCACGGCUAACUACGUG
rnacentral:rRNA from 1 species